rnacentral:rRNA from 1 species
AACGAACGCUGGCGGCAUGCCUAACACAUGCAAGUCGAACGAGACCUUCGGGUCUAGUGGCGCACGGGUGCGUAACGCGUGGGAACCUGCCCUUAGGUUCGGAAUAACUCCCCGAAAGGGGUGCUAAUACCGGAUAAUGUCUUCGGACCAAAGAUUUAUCACCUUUGGAUGGGCCCGCGUUGGAUUAGCUAGUUGGUAGGGUAAAAGCCUACCAAGGCGACGAUCCAUAGCUGGUCUGAGAGGAUGAUCAGCCACACUGGGACUGAGACACGGCCCAGACUCCUACGGGAGGCAGCAGUGGGGAAUAUUGGACAAUGGGCGAAGGCCUGAUCCAGCAAUGCCGCGUGAGUGAUGAAGUCCUUAGGGUUGUAAAGCUCUUUUACCCGGGAUGAUAAUGACAGUACCGGGAGAAUAAGCUCCGGCUAACUCCGUG